rnacentral:snoRNA from 1 species
CCUCUUGAUGAGGAAGAUUUAGUUGCUUAUAUUUUAAAUGGGCUAGAUAAAGAUUUUGAACCUAUUGUAUCUGCUAUUGUGGCACACAAUGAGUCGGUCACAAUAGCGGAAGUCUACUCUUAGCUUCUUAAUUUUGAGA